CGGCCGCGUCGACAACACAUGCAAGUCGAACGGAAAGGCCCUGCUUUUGUGGGGUGCUCGAGUGGCGGACGGGUGCGUAACGCGUGGGAAUCUGCCCAAUAGCGGGGGAUAACCCGGGGAAACUCGGGCUAAUACCGCAUACUCCCCAUGGGGGAAAGCGGGGGACCGCAAGGCCUCGCGCUAUUGGAUGAGCCCGCGUCCGAUUAGCUAGUUGGUGGGGUAAAGGCCUACCAAGGCGACGAUCGGUAGCUGGUCUGAGAGGACGACCAGCCACACUGGGACUGAGACACGGCCCAGACUCCUACGGGAGGCAGCAGUGGGGAAUAUUGGACAAU
rnacentral:rRNA from 1 species